rnacentral:rRNA from 1 species
GACGAACGCUGGCGGCGUGCUUAACACAUGCAAGUCGAACGGAAAGGCCCUGCUUUUGUGGGGUGCUCGAGUGGCGAACGGGUGAGUAACACGUGAGUAACCUGCCCUUGACUUUGGGAUAACUUCAGGAAACUGGGGCUAAUACCGGAUAGGAGCUCCUGCUGCAUGGUGGGGGUUGGUAAGUUUCGGCGGUUGGGGAUUGACUCGCGGCUUAUCAGCUUGUUGGUGGGGUAGUGGCUUACCAAGGGUUUGACGGGUAGCCGGCCUGAGAGGGUGACCGGCCACAUGGGGACUGAGAGACGGCCCAGACUCCUACGGGAGGCAGCAGUGGGGAAUAUGGCACAAUGGGCGGAAGCCUGAUGCAGCAGCGCCGCGUGCGGGAUGACGGCCUUCUGGUUGUAAACCGCUUUCUCCGGUGACGAAGCGUGAGUGACGGUAAUGGGUAAAGAAGCACCGGCUAACUACGUG